rnacentral:misc_RNA from 1 species
GAAAUGCGAUAAGUAAUGUGAAUUGCAGAAUUCCGUGAAUCAUCGAAUCUUUGAACGCACGUUGCGCCCUCUGGCAUUCCGGGGGGGCAUGCCUGUCCGAGCGUCAUUACGCACCCUCAAGCCCGGCUUGUGUGAUGGGCCCUGGCGUCUCGUUCGCGAGACGGGCCCGAAAGGCAGCGGCGGCGUCGACCCGAUGAGCCCGAGCGUAUGGGGACUUUUGUCACACGUUUGCGGUGCGGACCGGCGCCUGCUUGACUUUUCUGAUUAUCCAGGUUGACCUCGGAUCAGGUAGGGAUACCCGCUGAACUUAAGC